rnacentral:tRNA from 1 species
GUCCCUGUAGUAUAUCGCACAUUACCCUGGUCUUGUAAACCAGAAAAGG